UACCCCUUUUAUCGAGUUGUGACCAUUAUUAUUGAGUCUAAAGCGUUCUUAGCUGGUUUGGAUAGUUUACGCUUAAAUCUUUUCGUUUAACGGAAAGGCAUGGUAUAAAUACUUCCAGACUAGAGGCCGGGAGGGGAGAUGGGAACUUUUCGGGUAGGAGUAAAAUCCUUUAAUCCGAAAAAGACCACCAAUAGCGAAGGCACAUCUCCAGAACGGACCUGACGGUGAGGGACGAAGGCUAGGAGAACAAACCGGAUCAGAUACCCGGGUAGCCCUAGCAGUAAACGCUGCUUACUAUACGUUGCAUUUUCCUGAGAAAAUGCAGUGUGACAGCGAAGGCGUUAAGUAAGCCACUUGGGGAGUAUAAUCGCAAGGUCGAAACUUAAAGGAAUUGGCGGGGGAGCACAAAAACGGGUGAAGUUUUGCGGUUCAAUUGGAUUCAACUCCGGGAAUCUUACCAGAAGCGACAGCAAUAUGAAGGUCAGUCUGAAGAACUUACCAAAUGCGCUGAAAGGUGUUGCAUGGCCAUCAUCAGUUAGUAUCUUGAGACGUCCCGUUAAGUCGGGUAACUAACAAGACCCUCUUCUAUAUUUGCUAACAUGCAAUCCGUUGCGAAUGAGCAAAAUAUAGAGACUGCUUUCGAAAGAAAGAGGAAGGUGAGGGCGACGGUAGGUCAGUACGACCCUAAUCCUCUGGGCUACACGCGAAUUGCAAUGGUAAAGGCAAUAGGAUGCCCCUCCGAAAGGAGGAGCUAAUCCCCGAAUCUUUACCUUAGUUCGGAUCGAGGUCUGUAACUCGGCCUCGUGAAGGCGGAAUCCGUAGUAAACGCGUUUCAACAAAGCGCGGUGAAUUCUUUCCUGCUCCU
rnacentral:rRNA from 1 species